rnacentral:rRNA from 1 species
UACGAAGGGGGCUAGCGUUGCUCGGAAUCACUGGGCGUAAAGCGCACGUAGGCGGAUUCUUAAGUCGGUGGUGAAAUCCUGGAGCUCAACUCUGGAAUUGCCUUUGAAACUAGAGAACUUGGGUACGGGAGAGGUGAGUGGAAUUCCGAGUGUAGAGGUGAAAUUCGUAGAUAUUCGGAAGAACACCAGUGGCGAAGGCGGCUCACUGGCCCGUUACCGACGCUCAGGCGCGACAGCGUGGGGAGCAAACAGG